CUUCAGAGAUUACCGGCAUAAACCAGGAUCCAUAGGAUUCAGAAGCAAUUCCUCUGCUAAGUCUAGUGCUGAGUUAUAAGAUUGUUUGUCCUUUGUGGCUCUUGCUUCAGAUGGAGAAUGGGAACGUCUCCCUCUUCGUUGCCACAGUCAUCCUGUGCCGCCAGUUAAUGUUUUUAGGGGACUGAGCGAAUGGACUUCCUACCACAAGUGGCAUUCAGUUAAUGGAGUUUAUUGAGUUAUUUCGAACAAAAGCAACCAAACCCAGCUCUGAAGACUCCUAAACAACAGGUUGGCUCUGCAGUGUGCUAGACUAUGGGUAUGAACAGCAAACAGUGACUCUACCUCUAGAGCUGUAUUUUAAGGUAAAAAGUAAGUAUUACACAGGACCAGCUCAGAUUCUUAGAAGAAAGGCAUCAUAACAAAAUAUCCUCAAAUCAAGAUCCUGCCUACUAAAAUAGUUAAUAUUUGCAAGACUACUUAUAUUGUGUGGU